GACGAACGCUGGCGGCGUGCCUAACACAUGCAAGUCGAACGGAAACGCCCUGCCUUUGUGGGCUGCUCGAGUGGCGAACGGGUGAGUAACACGUGAGUAACCUGCCCUUGACCUUGGGAUAACUUAAUGACACUGGGGCUAAUACCGGCUAGGAGUUCCUGCCGCAUGGUGGGGGUUGGAAAGUUUCGGCGGUUGGGGAUGGACUCGCGGCGCAUCGGAUUGUUGGUUGGGUAGUGGCUUACCAAGGCCUUGACCGGUAGCCGGGCUGAGAGGGUGACCGGCCAGAUUGGGACUGAAAUACGACCCAGACUACUACCGGAGGCAAGAGUGGAGAAGGGUACACAAUAGGAGGAGGGCUGGCGUAACAACGCAGUGUGGGGGGAGACAUGAUUGGGGUAGUAAAGCGCUGUUGCUUGUGACGAGACGUGAGUGACGGUAAUGGGUGAAGAAGCACCGGCUAACUACGUG
rnacentral:rRNA from 1 species